GCGCCGAUGGUCAAGCGGUACGAUGUUCGCCUCCCAUACUUUGAGCGGCAAGCGAGAGACCCGAGUUCGAACCUCGGUCGGCGCA